UUUUUUUUUUUUCCCCUGUUGAACGGAAAAGAGAACUACGUAUGAAAGAGGCAGAGAAGGCUAUUUAUAGGCUGAUAACGGCGUGUUAAACAGAACUGACUGCCUGCGCCUUUUGUUGAGGAAAAAAAAAAUAGAGUAAACGAGAAAGCGAAGGCAAAAUUGCCGACUAGGGGUAAGAAAAGCUAAGCCGUGUCCACUGCAAGCUUAUAAACCUGUCAAG
rnacentral:misc_RNA from 1 species